rnacentral:rRNA from 1 species
UACGAAGGGGGCUAGCGUUGCUCGGAAUCACUGGGCGUAAAGGGUGCGUAGGCGGGUCUUUAAGUCAGGGGUGAAAUCCUGGAGCUCAACUCCAGAACUGCCUUUGAUACUGAGGAUCUUGAGUUCGGGAGAGGUGAGUGGAACUGCGAGUGUAGAGGUGAAAUUCGUAGGAUAUUCGCAAGAACACCAGUGGCGAAGGCGGCUCACUGGCCCGAUACUGACGGCUGAGGCACGGAAAGCGAUGGG